AGGAAUCUUUUAAGUAUUUUUAAUUAUACUAGGAGAAUGAUGCGCCAAAUUGCAAUACUAAUAAUUAUGAUUUUUUUCUUCAAUAUUUCUGUUUAUGUUUUUUACAUGCUUGUUGAACUUCUACCGAUGAAGGAAAAACUCAUUUGAUCGAUCCCAGCACACGUGCACACACAUAUACGAAAUUAGGUGUUAAUUAUUUAACUAUAAGAUAUUUUUUAGGGUAAUAUACGCUUUCAUUAAUAAGCACCUAUUACAAAAGCGAAAAAAAGCUAUCGGAAAUUAAAAAUUGAAGCUAAGGCUAGACAACCCAAGAGGAGGGAUGAAUUAGGUUGAAAACAUAUAGAACACAAAAAUUAAAGAUUAAUGUAAAUUUAUAAAUUAAAUAAUGACAGUAAUUAAAAUGUAAAGAGAGAAGGGAAAAGUAUCGAACACAAUAUUUUUACGUGGUUUGGAAAAACUUAUCUACGUCCACGCCUCGAAACUCAUCACGCUUGAGGAUUCCCAUGAACAAACCUUAAAAUCUUAAGGCUUCAACAAGAUUACACUUCACUUCGAAGGUGUCAAUGGACCUUUACAACUUGAGGUAAUCACAACCCUUUUAUCUUAAGUGUUUCCCACACUCUCAGCUACUCAAUUUUGAUAUUGAGAUGAAAGUUACAUAGAUUUCUUGCUCACAUAAUCUAUGUGUUUACAAAUGAAAGCUCAAAGUGUGAUUUGAUAAAAGAGUAAACAAAAUUUAUCUCAGACUAGAUUAAAUUAAGCAAUGAUAAGUUUGAUGAUAAUUGUUGAACACUUCUUGUAAAUUGUAUUUGAUGGAGCCUUUUAUAGUUGGAGAAGAAAAACUAGUCAUCAUUGACUUUCUAGGCAUAAUCAGAUCGCCAUUAAUAGAAGUAGGAUUGCCGUUUUCACUUUGUGCGAGUUAUAGUUAUAUAGAAUUUUGAUUUGCCGGAUCAUCGUUAGAAGAUGUCAGUUAACUGUUUAAUUCAAAAGAGUUCACUGAUUGAAGUCCGUUUGCCGCUUGCUCAUAAAGGUUUACCGUUUGAUUCUAUAAGCUCACCUGUUCGAAGCUGACUUGCCGUUUGUGGAUAGUAGUUUGCUGCUUCAAGAUAUAUUCCUUUCUAGAAUAUAUCGAUUAGCCGUUUUUAGUAAACGAUCUACAGUUAUCUUUCAGAAUCAAACAACCUGAUAACUUUCUAUAAACGGUUUGCCGUUUCAAUGGUAGCAGUUAUUGUUUAUUUUCAAAAGCUUAAAUUUGUUCAAAAAUAAUGCAUGGCCUAAGAAACUUCUCCUAUUUUAAAGACUCUAACAUUCUUAACCUAUGACACAUAUAAUUUAACAUCGAUUUGAUACAAAAUGAAAUUCUUAUGACAUGCCAAUUCUAACAACAUCCUAAUGGAUUCUAAUCUGACUAUAGGAGCAAAUGUUUCAUCAAAAUCAAUUUCUUCUUCCUGAUUGUAUCCUUGAGCAACUAUCUACCUUUAUUCCUUACAACCACAUCAGAUUCAUCCACUUUAUUUCUAUAUACCUAUUUAGUGCCUUUUAUAGAUUGAUGUUAUGUGUUUAGGAACAAGUAUCCAUACAUUAUUUCUCUCAAAUUGAUUUAACUCUUCUUCCAUAGCCAUAAUCCAUAAUUCAUCAUUUUCAACAUUUGAAAAUGAUUUUGAUUCAAUUUAAGAUAUGAAUGCAGUAUGCUUACAAGCAUUUCUAAGUGAUAAUCUAGUAGUUACACCUCGUAAAGGAUCAUCUAAGAUUAACUCUUUCCCUCUAAUCCUUAAGGAUGUUAGCUUAAAGGGCUAUACAUAAUGUAAUUUUGAUGAUAACAAACAUAUAUCUUAAAUGAUUUGAAAAAUAUUGUACUUCACAUUUCACUAGUUCUUGAAGGAUAAUAUUUAUGAUGAAGUGAAUCAUGUGAAAUCAAGUUUAAAACUCUCAACGGACAACGGCGCGAUCAAGAAUAAAGUUUAGAGCUCAAUCGACUCAUUAUUACAACAAUUCUUGUAAAAUCGGUAAGAUUUAAUAUAUGUGUGGUUUAACAUUUCAGAAGAUCAAGAUUUUAUUUAAUAAAUCAUCAUUUUUCAUAAACCAAAGGUUUUAACAAUUAUAAGCAAAGUAUUUUAAGUAAUUAAUUGUUUUUCAAGAUGUGGACUAAUAUGAAAAAGUUUUGCAAUCUUUGAUUUUAAUAAGUCUUGUUUUAAGUUCUAGAUUUGGACUUAUUUGCAAAUAUUUCAAACGUUUUGGGCCAUACUAUAAUUUCUAAACAUUUGGGGUUAAAGUAUAAAUAUUAAAAAUAAACGUAGAGUUAGCGGCUAACCGCCUAAAGAAAAUUUCAUAUUUUCAAAUUUUGGACUAAAUUGAAAAGAUUUUAAGAACAUUAAAAUUUAUAAGUAUUUUGUUAAAGUUUGAAAAGGACUUCUUUGAAAAAUAUUAUUAUGUUUUGGGUCGUAUGAUAAUUUCAAAAAUUUUUGGGAAUGAUAAGCAUUAUCUAGAAAUUCUAAAAUUGGAUCUGUUUGCAAAGUUCUAUGACGUUUUGGGCUAUAUAUAGUAUAAUUACAGAAAGUUUUGGGCAAAAUUACAAUUUUUUAAACAGUAUUACUGUAUCAAAAUUCAAAUUUAAUGAUAACUUUACUGUUCUGAAGCGGGGAGCCGACUAAAUUAAGCGGCUAGCUGCUUGCUUACUAGAAUUUUACUAUAACGGCUAGUUUUUGGGCUUUAGCUAUAAAAACGCAACUCCAACUUCAAUUUAAAGACUUUUGGCAAGCAUAAACAAGUGCAUAUAACAUAUAUUGAGCUUUAAUUUCUCUAAUCAUCAUAUAUUGAAUCAUCAUUGUGCUAUAAUUUGUAUAUCCACUCUUAAAGAGAGUUUCUUUGUUGUAAUCUUUAUUUUCUCAUCAAAUUUGUGAGUGUAUAAGUGUGAGAAACACUUGAGUGAAGAGAUUGAGAGAUAAUCUAUUGGUUGUAAAGGUUUAUUGACACCUUGGAAGUCAAUUGUAAAGAACUUGAAACCUUGGAAGGUUUGGAUAGUGAAAUCCUCGAGCUUGGUUGGCUUGGAGGCGUGGACGUAGGCGGGGAUUGCCGAACCACGUAAAAAUUACAGUGUUUGCUUUCUCUUCCUUUACUCUUUUAUUAUUGUGUUUUUUUGCUCUCUCUUCCCUUACUCUUUUAUUAUUGUGUUUUAUUGAAUUUAUUAUUUUUGAUUUGAUUAAGGCAAUAGAUUAAAUUGUUGUGUGGAUUGUUUUGCAUAAGUUUUAAAAUCCCAAUUCACCCCCCCUCUUGGUUGCAUAACUUGCAUUUCAAAGGAGUGUUUAAGAAUUUCCUUCAUUUUGAUUCUGCUUAGCUUGUUCUUUUUGUUGCUCUUUUGAUUUUUGCCUAAUAGAUCAUCUUGCUCGUCUUUUAAAGACUUAUUUUUAUAACUCCUUAUUUGCAUCAUCAUCAACAACAACUUCCUCUGUAGAGGAAGGAUUAGAUUCACCAAAUGUAACAUGCAUAUAUUCUUUAACAACCAAGGUCCUUUUAUUAUAUGUUCUAUAAGCACUGCUUGUAAUUAAAUACCCAAGAAAGAUACUAACGUCAGAUUUUGGAUUAAAUUUACUAAGAUUAUCUUUUGCAUUUAAUAUAAAAUAUUUGCAUCUAAAAACUUUGAAAUUGUCAACACACAAUUUAAGACAUAACAAAUAGUGUUGAUGGCUUUCUCCCAAAAGUAUUUUGGUAAAGUAUUUUCAUUCAACAUGGUCCUAGCCAUUUUUUGAAUUGUUAUAUUCUUUCUCUCAACAAACCCAUUUCCCUGUGGAGUUCUAGGUGAUGGAUAAUGAUGUUCAAUACCAAAGUCAUUGCAAAAACUUUUAAAUGUAUGAUUUUCAAAUUCUCUAUCAUGAUAACUUCUAAUGCAAGAAAUAUCACACCCUUGUUCAUUUUGGACCACUUAAUGAUCUAAAUUGAUAAGUCAUACAUUCACACAUGCAUUUACUAUAGAACCUUCAGCUUUAGUCCAUGAAAACAUGCAAUUGAAUAUUAAAAGAGUUUUACUUUAUGAAAUUCAAACUAAGGACCGUGACUCGCUAUCAUUCACUUGAUGUCUAACAUAUGAUUACACAGUACUCCUUUUCCAAGCUCUUGAAUCUUGUUUUGGAUGCCCAAUAUACCAUUUUAAUAUGUAUUUGCUGAAAAUUAUUGUUGUUUAAUUUAAAUCUAGAUCUUUUAGAAAUUCUAAUUGGAAAAUUAGUCACGUCGGAUACUUGAAAUUUCUUAUUUGAAGUUCAUAUGUUUUCAAGAUCAGAUAAAAGAAGCUAGCACUGUGUCAAGUUCUCCUUCAUUGGUCUUGGGUGAAGUAUCUGUUAUAAGCGAAUCUUUCCUUCCUUGGUGGAUGGUGGCAUACUCCCUUUGGGCCUAUCCAAGUGCAACUUCUCAUUCUAAAAAAAGAACGUUCAAUAAUUUCUAUAUGCCUAUUAUAGAUCUGCACCCCCUGCGAUCGAUAAACCUUUUUCUUUUGGAUCUUAUUAACCAAAGAGAUACGACUUUGCACUAUAGUUAUCUCAGCACCAACGCAUUUUCUUUUGAUUAGAGUAGGGGUCGCGAGAGAGUAGAGCGUACUGCCCUGCCAUAGUCGUGAGUUUGUUUAUAGUCUUGACUAUUGUGAUAGUCAACAAGGUGGAAACUUCCAGGAAAAAACUUCAAAUUUAGAGGGCAAUCCUCCCAGUGAACUGACAAUUGACAUUAUCAAUAUCUCCAUGUACUGAUUUAGAGCUAUUUGCCAAACUUGCUCUAUUCUGACUAUCUUCUUUAAGGUGUCUUGAUCGUCUACACACCUCCAGGUGUUUCCACCAGUGGGAACAUGGUUUACAUCACCCUUACUUUCUUUGUGUUGCCCAGAUUGAAUCAAUACAUCCUUGACUUGAAAUUACCACAAGCCAAAAUUGAUUCUCCCAUCAAACUUUUCAAACUCAAUCCUCACAGGAUUUGAAAAUUUGUUCAUAUAUAUAAUUGCUUUGCAGAACAACCUUUAACUCUGAUACCAUUUGUUAGGGAAUUGAAUCCCACCAAGAUCUUGCAAGCAAAAAUAUAUCAAACAAAUAAUAAAUUGAAAAAUAGAUGAAGAAUAAAACCAAUCACACAACACAAGAAUUUACAUGGAAAUCUCUUAUAAAGGAGCAAAACCACGGUCACCAAAGACAACAAGAGAAACAAAUCACUAUGUGAAAAAUUAUUACAAUCACUCUGCUAUUUUUCUUACACCCAAAACCCCAAUAAGACCUAAUCUCUUAAUAGACAUACUAUGUCUUCCACACAAGAAAUUGUCUACUUGCAGAGAUUAUUGUGUUAUAUACUACAAAUAAGUGAACCCUAGCUCCCUAUAUAUAGUGAUUAUUUCUUGUAAGAAAAGUAAUCCUUUUCUUAUACUAGCAAUAUUUCUCCUUGGAUAAGUCAAGUUCCAAAAGGAAAACGACUUAUUCCUUAAAUAGGAAUCAUACAAAAAAGGAAAAUAUCAUAGGAAAUCCUUAUUCUUUAAAUAGGAAUUCUACAAAAAGGAAAAUAUCUUAAAAACUUCUUAUUGAAAAAUAAGACAAUUUCCUAACAGUACAUUCAUAUGUCGAAGAUAAAGAGAAUUCUACGCCCAAGAAAAUUCCCCUGGAAAAUGUAUGUUUACUCCACUGUAUGAAUGGAUUUGGAUAAUAUAAUGACUUCAUAUAGCCUUUAAUAUUAUUAUUAUGAACAAUAAGGUUCAUGUGUUGAUGAUAAAAUUCUCCUAGUAUGUGUUUAUUACCAAUUUAUAGUGACAUCAUUCCUAUCAUUUUUGUUGAAGCCCAACAAGCCUGAUUUUUGCACCUUCCAAGUAUAUUAAGGACUACAUCUCUGGCGAUCGUUGGACCAUUUGAAAGCAUCAAAUUGUUUGAAUUUCUCUUUCGUGGUCACAUGACAAAAGUAUAAUGUAGUUCCUCCGGAAUUUGCGUGGAAGUUCCAUUGAAAAUCUUGCCCUGUCUUUAAAACAUGAGAUCCUAAAUCAUCAUCUUUUGAUUUACAAUGAACUGUAACAUCUUCUUCAGAUUUAUCGUUUUGGACAGCAAUUGAAAAAUCAUCUGAUGGUGGUGUCUCCAGCAAAACACCCAACAUAACAGACAACAAUAAAACUUUGUUAAACAGACUCAUUUCCAAUUUUCGUUCCAUGAAUUAAGGGAUUGAACUUGCACAUCUUAUUCUCAAAGAAUUCGAUUUUUACCUAUAUAUUUUCCUGACAAAUACAGAAUUUUAUUACUAAAAUUAAGGUGAAGCUUGAAAAUAUAUUUUCUCGACAAAUGAUGCCCGACCAUUAAACAUCCCUCCCGUUCUCAUUUUCGGUGACUUCUCAUUUUUUCGCAUGUAAAUAGUCCUAAAUGUUCUUUGAAGGUGCAAAAAAUCAGGUUUGUUCGGCUUCAACUAAAAUGACAACAACGAUGUCACUUUAAAUUGGUGUUAACCUCAUAACCAAAUCAAAGAUUUUAAAAUAAUACUAGGAGAAUUCAAUAAUCAAUUGGGAAUCUUAAAGUAUUCAAAUUAUUCUAGCCCAAUUUACAAUUAAGGAUAACUCUUUUCUCUAAUUUGUCUGUUCUUGUUUUUCACAUACUUGUCAAACUCUUACCAAUGAAGAAAAUGUGCAUUGAUGCACGCACACACGCAUAUAUAUGGAAGUGGAUGUCAGUUAUGUUAACUGGUAAAAUUUCAUUUCUUGAAAAAGUUUUAUUACCGAUCAGAUUUUUUUAACGGUAGAAUAACUUUUCAUUAACAUUUAUUAAGGUGUAAAUGAGUUAUCGGAAAUUUAGAGAAAAAUUGAGAGGUUCUUUUUAAAGGUAAUUUGCCUUAGGAUGAUAAUAAAUAUAUUCUAGGACAUGUUGCAUCUAUAACAUGAUCAAUUAAUUAUUUCUCUCUCAUCUUUCAAACACCACGUGAAAACAAACUUCCCAUUGAAAAUAACAAUUUGCUAUCAACUAGAGACGUCCAAGGGGCCAGGCCGGCAAAGGAAGGGCCAUGUGGAUUUAUGCUCGUACCAUGUCAUAUCCACCAUAUGAUUCGUACUGUGCUCUUUUUAUUUUAUUAUUAUUAUUUUUUUGCUUAAGCAUGGCCCGACACAUGCCCCAUACCCUAGGGGUGUUCAGAAUCCAAUCCGAUCCUCUCAAUCUGUCUGAUUCGCAAAAAUCCGAUUCGUAAAAAUCCGAUCUGUGGAUUGGUGGAUUGGAUUGGAUUGGAUUGAAAAUUUAAAAAUCCGCAGUCCGUGGAUUGGAUAUGGAUUUACUUAUGUAAAUCCGUAAAAAUCCGUGAAUCCAUAAAAAAUAAAAAAUAUAUAUUUAUUUAAUUAAAAAAUAAAACUUAUAAAUAUGAUGUUACUACUUACUAAUAAAUUAAUAAGUUAAAAUGUAGCUAUAUUAACACUAUACAUAUCUUAUCUGAUAAUAAUAUAUAAUAAACAUGAUUAAAUAAUUGAAUAACUAAAUAAAGAAAUAUAGCUUUCUAAACAGUUAAUUUUCAUGUAUUGAUUUAAACAAAUGAGAUUUUUUCUUUUCACUAUAUUAUAUUUUGAGACUUUGAAUGUAUUAUUCUAUUUUUAUUUAAAAUUUUAAUUUAUUUAAAUCUUAUUAAAUUUUGAAUUUGAUCGGUAAUAAAAUUACUUUUAUAUAAGAUUUUUUUAUUUAAUAAGUUCGUACAAUGAAUAGAAUUAAAAAAUUUUAAUCCGCAAAUCGAUUCACAAAAUAAUGGAUUGGAUAUGAAUUGUGUCAAAUCCACAUCUGAUCUGCAAACAUAUGGAUUGAAUUUGGAUUGAAUUUGCCAAUCCGUGGAUUGGAUUGGAUUGAAAAUUUACAAUCCGUAAAAUCAUGGAUCGGAUAUGGAUUGAUAUCCAAUCCGUAAAAUUCGAACCACGAACACCCCUACCAUACCCACAUGUGCCGUGCUGGACUAUGCAACAAGCCAUGCCUAAAAAAAGAAAGUAUGAAAAGUUGUUUUUAAAAAUCAUUAAGUGGUCCAAAAUAUUUUUAAGACGACAUGCCAAGUUAUUGGCAUGCUUUUUUCAAAAUCAUGCACUUUUUUUUAAGUCCGUGUGCUUUUAGUCACAUAGAAUCAAAGUUUAAAACUCAAGUUCAUAUUUAAUAAUAAUAAGGGAAUACGAUACUAACUGUUAAGUUAGACCUACGAUACUAGAAUUCGUUUUUAAUACUUAAUAACAACAAUAGCAACAACAACAAUAAUAAUUUUUUUCUUAAGGAUUAACUUAAUUGUUAACUUGGGCUUACAUAGAGUCAUAAAUUGUAAUCCAUAAUGACAUUAAUAUAUACAUUUAUAAAAUUAUGAUAUUUAUAAUUUUAUUUGUUAAAAUCAUGAUAUCAUCUAUUCAUUUAAUAAAUUAUAAACAUAAAACAACUAAAGUAUUUUUCUUUAAACUAAGAAUUAAAUGAAUUUAAAAAACUUAUGCUAAUAAAAUACAUUAGAAGAUUCAAUUUCAAGUUAUUUGUAAAAUCAUAAAAUUUUAAGUUUGGUUUCUUUGAAAAGUUUUACUUGGCUCUCAUGAUAUUGAAGACCUAUCGGCUACGUGCUAAUUUGCCAGUGAAACGUGCUUAUUAUGGGCUUUUCAUGAGUUGUACUUUAACCUAUCUCUAAUUAUGCCGUGCUUUUAAGGUCCAUGUCUCAAAAAUUCUCAGUCCAGCCAGCUCGCGUGCCCAUCGUACUAUGCUGUAUGCCCUGCCAAAACAUUCUUGUGCCAUGCCGUGCUGUACGGACAUUUGCCGUUCCGUGCCACAUGCCAUGCCGUGUUCGCCAUCUCUAUUUGAGAGCACUAGCUUGACUUCUCAUGGGAAGCUCUAUUUACCCUUUGUACAAAACAUAUAAUAAGAAUACAUUUAUGGCCACAUCAAUUGAAUAAUACAUUUUUGACAACAUUUAUAUUAUUAUUUUGUUCCUUGCUUUUUUUAUAGUUCUUUUAUAACUUUGUAAAAAGUGCUUAUUACCAAAAGUGUACACUACCCAUGACAAUAUCUUCUCAAUAUGUGAUACCGCAAGUCAUAUACAUAUAUAGACAAUACUCGUUUAAUUAUUGUGUUUUGGGCUUAAAAAAGUUAAAAACUCCAAACUUUUAAUUAUAAAAGCCAGUCCCGUUACUCAUUUUACAUAUUUAAAAAAAAAAAAGAGAUCUGCUAACUCUAUGAAAUGAGAGUUAUCAUAGUAUUUCCAUACUUAAACUAAUAUUACUUAGAGAGUAAAUGAUAUGUUUUUAUUACAUUUUGAGUUAUGUUUUGUAUGGGCAUCUAUUUAAGUUUAAGUUAAUAAAUUGAUUGUGUUUUAGAUCACUUUGUGCUCUGAUUAUGUGCAUGAUUGUAGGUGACAAAAAAGCUCAAACUUUAUAAAUAGAAUGCUGCAGCAACAGACUUGUAGAAAUUACAAAGAACUGGUUUGCAAAUGAACUAAAACAUGUCUAAAUUAGAGAAAAUGUUGAAGCAACUGCUGCAGAAAUCCAGAAGCAAAUACAGACAAGACUACUCGCAUGGUAACUGACAAAGCAGUGACAGGUGGCACAAAAAGAUAUGCAAUUCGGGGUUUCCCAAAAAAAGACAUGUUGGCACAUGCUUUUGUUUGCCCUAAUUCCAAUAUAUAAAAAAAGCACAUGUGAAUGAAAAAAGGAGGAGGUGCCGUCACACAAAAACAACAGAGAUAAAAAGAAAAAGAAGAGAACCAGAGAGAGUUAAGGGCUAAUGAAGGGAUUUCUGAGAAAAAGAAGAAGAAAUCAUAAAACCAGAAAGAGGGACAUCUUGAAUUUAGUGGAUCUCAAUUUCUACUCUUUAUUUACUUGCUUUUACAUUUCUAUGGGAAUGUAUUUGAUGGAAAAAGCGUGUAUUGUUACUGUUUUAUCGCUUAUCAUGAACUAAACUUUGAUGUAAUUGGGUGUUAAACAAGCUUAAUGGUUAUUUGACUUAUAUAUCGGCGUUGCUUAGAAUCUGCUGUAGCAUUUUGUCUUGAUUUUACUUAUUGCAAAUCUCUAUUUUGUUAAUAUAAAUAUUUCUUUAUUAUUGAUUUUGAUGAUAACAAACUUGAUUAAGAUUGAUUAAUCUUUUAAAAGCUCAAAAUAGUUAAGAUUGAUUAAUCGUUAUUCUCACUUUAUAAAGGCUUUAUAUUCUAUGAAAAUGUUUUUAUAAAAUUGGUUAUUCUCAUGUUAAUAGUUUCAAUUGAAAAAGCUUUGAGAAUUUUGAUAAAUAACAAGUAUUGCUUAAAAUCCUGAAAAUGGACUUAUUUGACAAGUUUUAUAAAGUUAAAGGUCUUCCAAAAAUCGGUUUUCAAAAAGAUAAAAUUUGUGAAGCAUGCCAAUUUGGUAAACAAAUCAAAACCUCUUUUAAAAGCAAAAAUCAUAUUUCUACUUCAAAACCGCUUCAAUUACUUUAUAUAGAUUUAUUUGGACCUUCAAGGUAUGCUAGCUUGAGUGGAAAAUAUUACGCUUUUGUAAUUGUUGAUGAUUUUUCAAGAUACACAUGGGUAUUAUUCUUAGCUAAUAAGGAUGAUGCUCUUGAUGCUUUUAAAGUGUUUUGUAAGAAAAUUCAAAAUGAAAAAGGGUACGGUAUUGCAUGCAUUAAAAGUGAUCAUGGAGGAGAGUUUGUAAACUAUGCAUUUGAAACCUUUUGCAAUAAUCUAGGCAUUGUGCAUCAAUUUUCAUCACCUAGAACUCCACAAAAAAAUGGAGUUGUUGAGAGAAAGAAUAGGUCAAUUCAAGAAAUGGCUAAGACUAUGUUGAAUGACAAUUUCUUGCCUAAGUAUUUUUAGGUCGAGGCUGUCAACACCGCUUGUUAUGUUUUAAAUCGUGUGUUGAUUAGACCUAAUCUUAAUAAAACUCUAUAUGAGCUUUGGAAAGACAGAAAACCCAACAUUGGUUAUUUUAAAGUUUUUGGAUGCAAAUGUUUUAUUUUGAACACAAAAGAUAAUCUUGGCAAAUUUGAUCCAAAAUCCGAUGUUGGUAUUUUUCUUGGAUAUUCAAACUCAAGCAAAGCUUAUAGAGUUUAUAACAAAAGAACUCUAGUUGUGGAAGAAUCUAUGCAUGUUACAUUUGAUGAAUCUAACCCCUCCUCUACGGAGAAAGUUGUUGUUGAUAAUGAUGCAGAUGAAGAAUUACAAAAAGAGUCAUCAAAGGAUAACCAAAAGGAUGCAUCUCAUGGGAAUCAAGAUGAGCAACUUGAAGAAAUGAAUGUAGAGCAAAAUGAAGGUACUUCUCAAUCACUCCCCAACGGGUGGAAUUAUGUUUCUUCUCAUCCUAAGGACUUGAUUUAAAGAGAUACCUCAAGUAGCAUAACAACUAGAUCAUCAUUUAGAAAUACUUGUGAGCAUGCUGCAUUCAUAUCUCAAAUUGAACCAAAAUCCUUUGCGGAUGCGGAAAAUGAUGAAUCUUGGAUUAUGGCAAUGCAAGAGGAGUUAAAUCAAUUUGAGAGAAACAAUGUGUGGGAAUUAGUUCUUAAACCGGAACAUCAAUCCAUUAUAGGCACUAAAUGGGUAUUUAGAAAAAAAUGGAUGAAUCUGGUAUGGUUGUAAGGAAUAAAGUUGGACUAGUGGCUCAAGGUUACAACCAAGAAGAGGGAAUUGAUUUUGAUGAAACAUUUGCACCUGUAGCUAGAUUAGAAUCCAUUAGGAUGUUGUUAGCAUUUGCAUAUCAUAAAGAUUUCAUUUUAUUUCAAAUGGAUGUCAAGAGUGCUUUCUUAAAUGGUUAUAUUAUGGAGGAAGUUUAUGUGAAACAACCCCUUGAUUUUGAAAAUGAAAAAUUUCCAAAUCAUGUUUAUAAGUUGUCAAAAGCAUUGUAUGGAUAAAUCAAGCAUCUAGAGCAUAGUAUGAUAGGCUUAAGAAUUUCUUAUUGGAUAACAGUUUUUCGAUGGGUAAAACGGAUACUACUCUCUUUGUUAAGCAUAAAAACCGAGAUAUUCUUGUUGUUCAAAUUUAUGUUGAUGAUAUUAUUUUUGGUUCUACUAAUGAAUUGUUGUGUAAAGAGUUUUCAUCUUGUAUGAGUAAAGAAUUUGAAAUGAGUAUGAUGGGAGAGUUGAAGUACUUUCUUGGGCUGCAAAUAAAACAAAAUGAGGAAGGAAUAUUCAUAAAUCAAGCCAAGUAUGUGAAAGACCUACUCAAGCGAUUUGGCAUUGAUGAUUCAAAGACCAAAAGCACUCCAAUGGGCACAACAACUAAGCUUGAAAAAGAUUAAAAAGACAAAAAAGUGGAUAUCAAAACGUAUCGAGGUUGGUUGCUAAAUUGGAGUUUAUAUGGGAGUGUUUUAACCACUUUGUUUUUGAGGAUAUGUUCAUUUUUAAGGGGAGAUUCUGUCAAAUUUUUUUCGACAUGGGUAAUCUCUGAACUUCUCUUUUUAAUCUUUUCACGCUCAUUUCUUUUUUAUGAUGAAGGGGGAGAUAAUUUAUAUAUAAUCUGUUGAAAAAUUUUCUUUCUACUUUUGUGGUUAAAAAUUGAUGGACACAUAUUUAUGGGGAGCUAAAUUCUACAAAUAUUUUACUUAGGGGGAGCACAUAUUUAGGGGGAGCAAAAUUGCACAAGUAUUUUCUUGAAAAGUUUGUCAUCAUAAAAAAUGGGGAGAUUGUUAACAUAAAUAUUUCUUUAUUAUUGAUUUUGAUGAUAACAAAAUUGAUUAAUCUUUUAAAAACUCAAAAUAGUUUUCAUAUACUUUUAAAUCAUCAUUCUCACUUUAUAAAGGCUUUAUAUUCUAUGAAAAUGUUUUUAUAAAAUUGGUUAUUCUCAUGUUAAUGGUUUCAAUUGAAAAAGUUUUGAGAAUUUUGAUAAAUAACAAGUAUUGCUUAAAAUCCUGAAAAUGGACUUAUUUGACAAGUUUUAUAACGUUUUGGGCCAUAGUAUAUUUUUAUAAAGUUUUGGGGCUAAUCUGUAAUUUUAUAAAAUAGUUCACUAUGGCAGUCAUUGUAGAAAACGAUGAUCCGACAUAUCAAUAAUGGCAAUCGGACAUCAAACAGAAUUGAAGAGUUUCCUUUGGACACUAACGGCGAUUCGACAUCUUAAAAACGGCGAUCUGACAAUUUGAAAAUUCAGUCCAAUGGUCAUAUUGACUAGAUAAACGACGAUCCGACAUCUGGUUAACGGCAAUCCGAUAGUGAGCAGAAAGUCAAUAACGACUAGUUUCCAGCUCCAACUAUAAAUAAGCUCAAUCAAAUUUCAAACAACAACGAUUCCAACAAUUGUCAUUGAGUAAAUUAUUGAGCAUACAACUUUCUUUGAGCUUUAAAUUCUUGUAUUCAUCUCACUUACUCACACUUUAGAUCUUUAUUUGUAAUCAAACACAUUGUGUGAGAGAGAUUUAUUUUGUAAUAUUUUUUACAAACGAAUUGAGAGGUUGUAAGUGUUGGGAUACACUUGGGACAAGAGAUUGGGGAUAAUCUCUUUGUGUAAAGGUUUAUUGACACCUUGGAAGUCAAUUGUAAGAGCGGUUUAAGCCUUGGAGGCUUGCUUAGUGGAAUCCUCAAGCCCGGUGAGCUUGGAGGCGUGGACGUAGACACGGUUAGCCGAACCACGUAAAAAUCACGUGUUUGAUUUCUCUUCCUUUACUCUUUUAUUAUCUUGUUGGAUUAAAUUUAUUGUUUUUUUAUUUCAUUAACGCAAUAGAUUUAAUUGUUGUGUGGUUUGCUUAGAUUAAUUUUUAGUAACUGUUAGAGUGCAAUUUAUGCACUAGUUUUGCAUUGUUUACUUCCCUUAAUAUCGAUGUUUUGCAUUUAAUAAUAGUGAUUUACCUGUGAUUUACUUUUGUAGGUGCAAUUCUAUUGAUUGGUGAUAAAAUUGAGCUACAAGAUGAUGUUUAGGGAUGAUUGUUCCCUUGGAGAAAUUAUGAGCGGCAGAAGAACUUUGUUGAUAAGGCGUGGGCGCGUGCUGUCAAUUGCGGACCUGCAGUUUUUAGUUUAACGUGUUUUAUAUUUUUGGCUAUUUUUGUAAUUACAAAUUUAAUAUUUUAGAUAUUAGUAUUUUAUUUUAAAUAGAACUCUAAAAGAGAAGAGAGAGAGAGUAUUUAAGGGAGGAAUCAAUUGAUUAAAUUCUAUGAUCGUAUCUAGGGUUGUCUAUUGAUUAGGGAAAUAACCAACGGUCGUACCUUGGUUAUCGACUAGUUAAGGAGAGAUUGGCUAUUAGAGGGUCUCAGUAGCUAUAACCGGUCUAUUCAUGAGUAAUAAUAAUAAUCUAUAUUUGAAUCAAUGAUCAGUAGUCGAAUCAAGUUGAGUUAAUUCCUUCAACCAGAGCUUUCUCUAAUUUGAAUUACAACUUUAAUUUGCAUUCUUGUUAUUUUAAUUUGAUUUUAUUAUUGUCAACAAUUCCCCCAUUUUACGUUUUACGUUUCAAAAGGAUUUAAAUAAUUACCGAUCUCUGUGGACACGACCCUGCUCAAUCACUAUACACAAUUUAUUUAGAGUAGGAAUUUAUUUUUGUUGGCUUCGACACCCAUCAGUAACCCAAUUUACCUCUCCUCUUGGGUUGCUUAGAUAAUAUUUCAUUUGGUAUCAGAUCCUUGUUCUCUUGUUAGGACUUAAUCGUCUCGAGUAAAAGAUCCAUGUCAACCCUAAAUGACUCAACCUUUAGAGAAGGAAAAUCCACAACUAGACCGCCGUUCUUUGACGGUAAUGACUAUGCAUAUUGGAAAACUAGGGUGAGAAUCUAUUUGCAAGCUUUAGAUUAUGAAAUUUGGGAAGUUGUUUGUGAUGGUCCAUUCAUGCCUAUGAUUAAAAAUGAAGUAGGAGAUGAUAUUCCUAAACCAUCAAAUCAAUGGAGUGAGUUAGAAAAGAGAAAGAUGUCCUUAAACUCCAGGGCAAGGAAUGCCUUAUUUUGUCCUCUUGAUAAGAAAGAAUUCCAUAGAGUAUCUAGUUGUGAGAGUGCACAAGAAAUAUAGAAGAAACUUGAAGUUGUUUGUGAAGGGACAAAUCAAGUUAAAGAGUCUAAAAUUAGUAGAUACACUCGUCAAUACGAAUUGUUCCAAAUGGAACAAAAUGAAAAUGUGUAUUCUAUGUAUACAUGAUUCACGGACAUAGUAUGGUAUUUUACGCUUAUGUUAUAAUUUAUAUUCGUGUUUAUUAGGGAUUAUUAAUUAUGUUUUAAAUAUAUCUAAUUUUGUGUGUUUAUUAGGUAAAAUAUUAAUUUCACGUAAUUCAAGACCCCAAACAGAUAAACAGAUGUCAAAUUUGGAUUCCAGAGGUUCGAAAACCUUAAGAUGAGUCAAGAUUGGCUUAAAAUUAGGUUUGUGUAAAAAGAGUUGACUUUUUGUUGACCGAGCACUAAUUAGAUAAUAAAAUGAGCUUACAACAGAUAUGAGUGCAUGGGAUAACUGUCAAUUUUGACUAAAUCUCAACCGUUCAUGAUUCAAUGGCUAUGAUUGUGCCACGUGAUAAUGGUUGGUAAAGCAAGUUGUUGGAUCGAAUCUUUGUAUUUGAGUUGACUCGAUCCACCUAUUAACCCGCCAAAUCUCAAUUGUUCUUUGGCCAAAUCAGAUGAGUCAAAUGAUGCCAAGUGUGAUGUUGACUUUUGAAAUUUGAUAAGUCAUUGGAUCUUGAUCUAAUGGUUGUGAGGAGUGCAUGUAUGAAGCUUAUGAUGGACCAUAAGACACUGGAUUAUGAAUUUAUUUUUCUAUAAAUAGAGCCUCAUUUUUAUGUUUUUAAUCAUCUCUCUACAUCUCUUUUCUUCUCACAUUCUCUCAAUCUCCCAGUAAUCUUGUUUUUGAGGUGUGUUUUUAAUAUUUUGUGUAAUUAGUUAUAAAUAAAUUUAGUUUUAUUUUCAAUUUUAAUUAUUUUUAUUACUUUUAAUUAUAAGUAAUUUAAUUUUAAUAUUUCUUUUUAUUUCAAUUAUUCUUAACUAAAUAAUAAUAGUUAGGGUAAGAUGAAACUCUUAGGAAAUAAAUAUAAUUUAAUCAAAUUCUAUUUUUAAUUUUAUAAAUUAAAUUAUUUUAUAUUUAAUUUUAAACAUUUAUAUAUUUUGAAAUUUUGAUUUAUUACAGACAAACAAGGGAGUUAGGCACAAUAAAUUCUUAAUAUCUUAAUAUAAGGUAUGGUAAAAUGGUAUUUUGACUUAUUGUAGAUAAAUUAAAUUUUGGUACAAUAAAUACUUAAUCCAUUAUAAAAUAAAAGGGAAAAUAAUAAUAAUUUAUAUAAUUAAUCUUUUGGGCAAUAAAUCUAAAAAAAUGGCAAAAAGAAUUUAUUAAGUUUUAUUUACUAUUAAGAGCGGAUCCACAACCAUAUCUAAUUCAAUUUCAUAGUUUUAUUUAAAUUAAGUUGUUUAUAUUCAAGUUUUAUUUUUAUUUUUAGAUAAAAUUAAAUAAACAAAAUUAAAUAUUUUCUCUAAGGAUUGACCUCAAACUCACCGAGCUAUAAUAUAAUAAGACACUCUUAUACUCGGGAGUUAAAAAUUUCUUUUAAGUUGUGUCAAGUUUUUGGCGCCGUUGCUGGGGAAAAGUUUUUAUUUUGCUUUAUUUUUCCUUUUUUUAUUUUUUAUUGUAAAGUUUUCUUUACACCUCUUUUACUUUUCCUAAAUUUUGUUUUGACCCCAAAACCUUUUAGAAUCUUCACUUUCAUCCCACAUGGCUUAAUUCUAAACUUCUAAAAAUUUUAUUGUGGCCAUACAUUAUAAAGAAUUUGCAAUAAGAUCCCUAGAUGAAAUUUCUCACAAUAAUCAGACUUUGGACUUACAUCUUGAACUUAUUUGGACUCAAUUUGGACUCAAUUUGGACCAAGCAAAUUAACUACUAACUCUUAAUUUUUUUUAGUUAUUUAAUUUUUAGUAUUUAUCUUAUUUUAUUUUACGGCCGAUUUGACUGCCUACUGUUAUUUAAUUUUCAGUUAUUUUAUUAUUUCACAUUUAUUUUGUUGCUUUAUUUUAUUUUGUUAAUUUAUAUGGUGGGUUCAAUUUUUUUUUAUUUUACGGUUGGUUUGACCGCCUACUGUUAUUUAAUUUUCAGUUAUUUUAUUAUUUCGCAUUUAUUUUUUGCUUUAUUUUAUUUUUUUAAUUUGUAUCGUGGGUUCAACCACCAAAAUUGUUAUUUAAUUUUAAUUUUAAUUUUAAUUUUUUUAAUUUUUUGUACACUUAUAGUAUUUGCAUAUUUAAUUUUCAUUUUUAUGCAAUUUUCAUUUAGUUGUUUUGUUACUAAUUUGUUUGAACAUUACCUUUGUGAUAUAAUUAUUGCAUGAGAUGUUGGUCUUGAACUUCAAAUGGCAGGUUAAUUCAUAGAUCUAAAUCUCCACCACCAAUCAUGGACAAGAACCAAGAUGAAAACCUUUUGGGCGAACCUAAUCCCAAAUUGGUCAGGGAGACAAUCAUUUCCAACAUGGACGUGAUCAGAAUCAAUCAAGAACCUUGAGAGACUACAUGAAUCCAACCAGAACCGGAGCACCGUCGUGUAUAGUAUCUCCUCCAGAAGUAUCUCGAUUCAACUUCAAACCAGGUAUUAUCCAAUUUUUACCAAUAUUUCAUAGUUUAGAAUGUAAGAAUCCAUACUCACACCUAAAAGAUUUUAAGGAAGUUUGUAAUACAUACACAGACCAAAAUUGUAGCAUGAACAUAAUUAGAUUAAAGGUUUUUCCUUUUUCAUUAAAAGAUAAAGCUCAAACUUGGCUACAAAACCUUAGAUCUGGAUCAAUAAGAACUUGGAAUAAAUUCUUUCCACCUCAUAGAACUAAUUUUUUUAAAAGGCCAAUCAUUUUUUUCACUGAAAAAAAUGGAGAAACAUUAUACCAAUGUUGGGAUAGGUUUAAAGAAUUGCUUAACAUAUGUCCACACCAUACUUUUGAAACUUGGCGAUUGGUCAUUUAUUUCUACGAGGAAUUGACACCCCAAAGUAGACAGGUUGUUGAAAUGAUGUGUAAUGAUGAAUUUAGGAAUAAAAAUCCUAAAGAUGCACUAGAUUAUCUUGACUAAUUAGCUGAAAAUGCACAACAUUGAGAUACUGUUGGAACUUUUGAAUUGACAAAUAAACUACCACUUUUGAAUUAACCUUAGGGAACAUCAUGAUUUACAAGCAAAAUUUGCAUCCCUACUUAGAAAAGUUGAAGGUUUGGAACACAAAAAGAGUGAUCAAGUAAAAUCUAUUCAAGAAAUUGCACUACAAUAUUUAUAGUUCGAAUGAUCAUUUCACUCAAGAUUGUCCCACUCUGCCUGCACUUAAAGAAUAUUUAAAUGAUCAAGCUAAUGCCAUUAACACUUUCAAUAAACCAAACCCAUAUCACAUACUUAUAAUCCUGGUUGGAGAAAUCAUCCAAAUUUCAGUUUGAGGAAUAAUAAUAAUGCACAAUCUUCACAAGCACCACCUCCACAAAAUUUUAAAAAUGCUCAGCCUUAUGCACCAUAUGUUCCACCACCAUGGAAAAAUCUAGAAGACGUGAUGCAUUCAUUCAUUAAAAAGCAAGAUGUUAUUAACAAUCAAAAUGCACAAACGUUUUCUGAUUUGAAACAUACUCGUGCUAAAAUUGCUUCUGCACUCACAAUUCAAGAAAAAAGAAAAUUUCCUGCCCAACCACAACCAAAUCCUUAGAUUCAACAAAAUCCACCCAUGGACCAAGUCAAGUUAGUUAUAACUCUUCGUAGUGGUAAGGUUGUUGAUAGACCUAUACUUGAACCUUGUGAAAAUGAUGAAAAUUCAAAGGUAAGAAAGGACUAAAUGAACUUUCAUCUAGUAAAGAAAUAAGUAGUGUUCCACCUGAACCACCAUUUUUGCAUGCAUUGAAUAGACCAAGGAAAUCAAACCACUCUUCUGAAAUUUAUGAAAUCUUUAAGCAAGUGAAAGUUAACAUUCCUCUAUUAGAUGCAAUCAAGUAGAUACCUUCAUAUGCCAAAUGUUUAAAGGACUUGUGCACUAUCAAGAGGAAAUUGAAGGUAAAAAAGGUGUUUUCAAUGCCAAACAGGUAAGUACAAUUCUGUCUACUAAUAAUAAGUUGAAAUAUAAAGAUCCUGGUUGUCCUACCAUUUCUUGUAUUAUUGGUGAUCACAGAAUUGAGCAUGCUUUACUAGAUCUUGGUGUUAGUGUUAAUUUGCUUCUAUAUUCAGUUUAUCUUCAACUUAAUCUUGGUGAGUUAAAAUCAACUUUAACUACACUUUUGCUUGUCGAUAGAUCAUUUAAAGUACCAAAAGGAAUAGUGGAAGAUGUUUUAAUACAAGUUGAUAAAUUUAUAUACCUAGUGGAUUUUAUUGUCUUAGAAACUGAACAUGUUGUGAAUAAUUAUAAACUAAUUCCUGUAAUUUUAGGUCGACUAUUUUUAGCAACAACUAAUGCUUUGAUUAAUUGUAAGAAUGGCUUAAUGAAUUUAUCCUUUCGAAAUAUGACUCCAGAAUUGAAUGUUUUCAAUAUGUACAUGCAACUUAAUGAAGAAAAUGAGAUAGAAGAUGAUAUUAAUGAAUAAAAGGAAUUGGUUGAAUCUUGCAUAAAGGAAAAUAUUCAAAAAAGGAUUUUUCUGAACUCUCUGAUGUUUGUUUAGUUAAUUUGAGGAGUUUGGAAGUGUUGAAAAGACAGAACAACCAGAAGCACCUAAAUUGGAAUUGAAACAUUUGACUGAAGGAUUGAAAUAUGCUUUUCUUGGAGAAGAACAAACUUAUCCUGUUGUGAUUUCUUCUAGUUUAACAAGCGACCAAGAAGGUAAGUUACUAACUGUUCUUAAAAAGUAUAAAAAUACAAUUGGAUAGACUUUAAAUGAUAUUAAAGGUAUUAAUCCCUUAAUUUGCACACAUAAAAUUAAUUUGGAAGAAAAUGCUAAAACAUGUCAACAACCUCAAAGAAGAUUAAACUCACACAUGAAAGAGGUAGUCAACUCAAAAGUCCUUAAAUUGCUUGAUGUGGGAAUUAUCUACCCUAUUUCUGAUAGCAAGUGGGUAGGUCCUACACAAGUAGUGCCUAAAAAAUCUGGAAUCAAUGUUGUUAAAACUGAAAAAGGUAAAUUAAUUUCAACACGGAUUACAUCUAAUUGGCGGAUGUGCAUUAAUUAUAGAAAGUUAAAUGAAGCCACUAGAAAAGAUCAUUUUCCAUUACCAUUCCUUGACCAAAUCUUAAAAAGAGUAGCUGGACAUCCAUACUACUGCUUUUUAGAUUGAUAUUCAGGUUAUUAUCAAAUUGUUAUAGCACUUGAGAACCAAGAAAAGAUCACAUUUACAUGUCCCUUUGGAAUAUUUACAUUUAAAAGAAUGUCAUUUGGGCUUUGUAAUGCUCCUGCAACAUUUCAAAGAUGUAUGCUAAAUAUUUUCUGUGAUAUGGUUGAACAUUGUUUAGAGGUCUUUAUGGAUGAUUUGAUUGUUUUUGGGAAUUCUUUUGAUGAUUGUCUUGAUAAUUUGGAGAAAGUUUUAAAAAGAUGUGUUGAAAAAAAAACUUGUGUUGAAUUGGGAAAAAUGUCACUACAUGGUUACUUCUGGAAUUGUUUUGGGUCAUAUUGUAUCUAUUAAAGGAAUUGAAGUUGACAAAGCAAAAAUAGAAGUCGUAUCUAAAUUGUCACAACAAAAAAUAAUUAGAGAUGUGCAAUCCUUUUUAGGACAUUUAGGAUUUUAUAGGAGAUUUAUAAAAAACUUUAGUGCCAUAUCUAAACCACUUUGUAACCUUUUAUUAAAAGAUACACCUUUUGAAUGGACAGAUGAUUGCCAAAAAUAUUUUGAGAAAAUAAUUUAUCUUUUAACAUUUGCACCUAUUAUGCAAUCUUUUGAUUGGUCUUGGCCCUUUGCAUUAAUGUGUGAUGCAAGUGAUUUUGUUGUUGGUGCUGUUUUAAGACAAAGAAUGGAUGGUAAGCCUUUUGUGAUUUAUUACGUGAGUAAGACUUUGGAUAGUGCUCAAAUGAAUUAUUUUACAACUGAAAAAGAAUUACUUGUUGUGGUAUUGCAUUAAACAAAUUUCGUUCAUAUUUUCUUGGCUCUAAAUUUGUUGUGUUUAUUGACCAUGCUGCUGUGAGAUAUUUGAUGAGUAAACAUAAUGCCAAACCGAGACUAAUUCAUUGGAUUUUGUUACUUUAAGAAUUUGACCUUACCAUCAAAGAUAAAAAGCGUGCUAGAAAUGUCGUUUAUGAUCAUCUAUCAAGACUCACAUUCGAAUCUGCAGACGANNNNNNNNNNNNNNNNNNNNNNNNNNNNNNNNNNNNNNNNNNNNNNNNNNNNNNNNNNNNNNNNNNNNNNNNNNNNNNNNNNNNNNNNNNNNNNNNNNNNNNNNNNNNNNNNNNNNNNNNNNNNNNNNNNNNNNNNNNNNNNNNNNNNNNNNNNNNNNNNNNNNNNNNNNNNNNNNNNNNNNNNNNNNNNNNNNNNNNNNNNNNNNNNNNNNNNNNNNNNNNNNNNNNNNNNNNNNNNNNNNNNNNNNNNNNNNNNNNNNNNNNNNNNNNNNNNNNNNNNNNNNNNNNNNNNNNNNNNNNNNNNNNNNNNNNNNNNNNNNNNNNNNNNNNNNNNNNNNNNNNNNNNNNNNNNNNNNNNNNNNNNNNNNNNNNNNNNNNNNNNNNNNNNNNNNNNNNNNNNNNNNNNNNNNNNNNNNNNNNNNNNNNNNNNNNNNNNNNNNNNNNNNNNNNNNNNNNNNNNNNNNNNNNNNNNNNNNNNNNNNNNNNNNNNNNNNNNNNNNNNNNNNNNNNNNNNNNNNNNNNNNNNNNNNNNNNNNNNNNNNNNNNNNNNNNNNNNNNNNNNNNNNNNNNNNNNNNNNNNNNNNNNNNNNNNNNNNNNNNNNNNNNNNNNNNNNNNNNNNNNNNNNNNNNNNNNNNNNNNNNNNNNNNNNNNNNNNNNNNNNNNNNNNNNNNNNNNNNNNNNNNNNNNNNNNNNNNNNNNNNNNNNNNNNNNNNNNNNNNNNNNNNNNNNNNNNNNNNNNNNNNNNNNNNNNNNNNNNNNNNNNNNNNNNNNNNNNNNNNNNNNNNNNNNNNNNNNNNNNNNNNNNNNNNNNNNNNNNNNNNNNNNNNNNNNNNNNNNNNNNNNNNNNNNNNNNNNNNNNNNNNNNNNNNNNNNNNNNNNNNNNNNNNNNNNNNNNNNNNNNNNNNNNNNNNNNNNNNNNNNNNNNNNNNNNNNNNNNNNNNNNNNNNNNNNNNNNNNNNNNNNNNNNNNNNNNNNNNNNNNNNNNNNNNNNNNNNNNNNNNNNNNNNNNNNNNNNNNNNNNNNNNNNNNNNNNNNNNNNNNNNNNNNNNNNNNNNNNNNNNNNNNNNNNNNNNNNNNNNNNNNNNNNNNNNNNNNNNNNNNNNNNNNNNNNNNNNNNNNNNNNNNNNNNNNNNNNNNNNNNNNNNNNNNNNNNNNNNNNNNNNNNNNNNNNNNNNNNNNNNNNNNNNNNNNNNNNNNNNNNNNNNNNNNNNNNNNNNNNNNNNNNNNNNNNNNNNNNNNNNNNNNNNNNNNNNNNNNNNNNNNNNNNNNNNNNNNNNNNNNNNNNNNNNNNNNNNNNNNNNNNNNNNNNNNNNNNNNNNNNNNNNNNNNNNNNNNNNNNNNNNNNNNNNNNNNNNNNNNNNNNNNNNNNNNNNNNNNNNNNNNNNNNNNNNNNNNNNNNNNNNNNNNNNNNNNNNNNNNNNNNNNNNNNNNNNNNNNNNNNNNNNNNNNNNNNNNNNNNNNNNNNNNNNNNNNNNNNNNNNNNNNNNNNNNNNNNNNNNNNNNNNNNNNNNNNNNNNNNNNNNNNNNNNNNNNNNNNNNNNNNNNNNNNNNNNNNNNNNNNNNNNNNNNNNNNNNNNNNNNNNNNNNNNNNNNNNNNNNNNNNNNNNNNNNNNNNNNNNNNNNNNNNNNNNNNNNNNNNNNNNNNNNNNNNNNNNNNNUCGUUAAUUUCCUCGUUACAGGAAAAAUGCCUUUCCAAUGCAAUGCCCAAGAGAAGAAGAAAUUUUUGGUUGAAGUAAAGAAAUUUUAUUGGAAUAAUCCUUACUUAUUCAAAUAUUUCCCAGAUCAAAUUUUUUCGGCGAUGUAUUCCGGAUAGUGAGGUAAGUAGUGUCAUUAAUUUUUGUCAUUCUGAAGCAUGUGGUGGAAACUUUUCUUCAAGAAAAACUACUGCUAAAAUUUUACAGUGUGGAUUGUAUUGGCCUACCAUAUUCAAAGACACAUAAAUUUUGUAAAACUUGUGAAAAAUGUCAAAAAUUAGGAUCAAUUACUAAAAGAAACAUGAUGCCUUUAAAUCACAUACUUGAGAUUGAAAUAUUUGACUGUUGGGGAAUUGAUUUCAUGGCUCCAUUUCGAUUAUCUUUUGGAUUUUUUUAUAUAUUAGUUGCAGUUGAUUAUAUCUCAAAAUAGAUUGAAGCAAUUUCUUCUCGAAAUAAUGAUAGUAAAAUUGUGAUUAAACUUUUAAGAGAAAACAUUUUAAGUCGAUUUGGAAUCCCUCGAGCCAUUAUCAGUGAUGGAGGUAAACAUUUUUGUAAUAAGUCAAUUGAGUCUUUAAUGAAGAAAUACUGAAUUACACACAAAGUUGCUACCCCUUAUUAUCCUCAAACAAAUGGUCAAAUUGAAUUAGAAAAUAAGGAGAUAAUUUUUUUUUUGGAAAAAACGGUUAACCCAAACCGAAAAGAUUGGUCUCUUAGACUUAAUAAUAUACUUUGGGCCUACCGUACUGCAUUUAAGACGUCAUUAGGAAUGUCACCUUAUUGGUUAGUUUAUGGUAAACCUUGUCAUUUACCUGUUGAACUUGAACAUAAAUCAUUUUGGGCUAUUAAAGUUUUUAAUUCAAAUUUGGAUGAUGCUGGUAAUGUGUGAAAAUUGCAAUUGAAUGAACUUGAGGAAUUAAGGAAUGAUGCAUAUGAAAAUUCAAGAAUUAUUAAAGCAAGAACAAAAGUUUUUCAUGAUAAAAGAAUUUUUCUGAAAAUAUUUGAGCUUCGUCAAAAAGUGUUGCUUUAUAAUUCUUGUCUUCAUUUAUUUCCAGAGAAGUUAAAGUCAAAAUGGAGUGGCCCAUUUGUUGUUAAAAAAUUAUAUUCAUAUGGGGCUAUAGAAAUUGAGAAUCCAAAGAACGGUGUCACAUUUAAAGUUAAUGGUCAAAGAUUUAAACCAUAUCUAAACAUCACCCACGUGAAGAAGACACCAAAAUCAAUUUGGGUGACCCACCAAUUCUUGAUUAAGUCUUUAAUGAAUGAUUCAUUUUUUUUGUUUUCUGUUAUUUUUCCAUUUCAUUGUUUGAUUUUUUUUCUCUUGAUUGAUGCACUAUACAUAUUUUUUUAGCAUUAUAUUUCUUAUUUAAGCGUGUUUGUUUGACAGUUGUAGUUUCUCUCAUCAAUUUUCAUUAUACGUCAUGAGUACCUCAAUAAGAAAGUUCUUGUUCACACAUCUUAAAAGACUUCUGUGUGUGAAAUUUCACUUAAGAGGCCUGAUACAAAGCUGUAACUCAUAUUCGCUUUGGGAUAUGCAUCCACCAUUAUUAGUGUCCUACGUUGAGGAUCUAGAAAGGCAACUUAGAGCAAUAGAGAACGAUAUAUAUGAAUUUCAAUUGGAGCUUGAGGUUAACUAAAUAAAAGGACGAAUGUAAGUUCAUUUUUCUUUUUUAUUUUCUUUGUGUGAUUUCUUUUUGUUGUUUUGUUCACUUUCACGUUUGAUUCGAUUUUACAGUUUUGAUUCUUUUUAUUUUGGUGUGUUUUGAUUUAUUUUCCCAUAUAAAUGGCGGAUAACAGUACUCCAUGACUUUUUAAGUCGGUAUCUUCAAUUUCCCAUAAUAACUGAAACCUCAAAAUCAAAUAUGGAAGAAAUACAACAUAAACUGCAUAAACAUUUUCCCUCUCUCCCUUAGAAUGCCCUCAAGAAAAUUUAUAAAACUCGUUGUGAACGACUGCAUUUGUUAAUGAUCAUUGGCAUUCCUUCUGACAUUCGUUGGUUAAUUGAAGCAAAGGUCUGGUUAGCAGGUGAGUUUUCUGAUCCAUUUGUUUCUUUCAUGCCUGAUUUUGGUAAAAGUACAUUUGCUAAAAAAAAUGGAGAGCUAAACGACUUGGCUCAAAAUGUCAUAAUUGUGUACGGCUUAAUUGCAAACGACCAGAUUGUAAAUCUUUAGGAAUUGUUUCUAAUAAUCAUGAAGAUAAAAUUAAAUUCGUUUAAGAUGGCCUAAGUAAAGAAUUGUUGGAUGAUAUCUUACGAUCUCUUGAGACGCAUUGAAGCGGAUAUGUGUAACGUGAGAUUCAUAAUUUUUUGAUACUGUUCCAAAAAGAAAGUGCAUAGUUUAGUCUUGGGAAUCUAACUAAAAAAGACCAUAUUUGCCAGUUAAUAAGAAAACUGGAUGGGAAGCUUAUCAUCGAUCCAUAGAGGGCGUUCAAGCCGUUACUGGACAUAAAACCAGAGGAAGAUAUGAGCCACAAUCACAAUUACCAAUAAAUAUCCUUUUAUUUUGUUGCUCUUUUAUCAUUUGCAUUAUUGCAUUUAGUGGCGUGAUCUUAUAUUUAAUAAUUAUCAUUUUCUUUUAAUGUUUGCUUUUUCUAAUCACUAUUUUCUUUUUCUUUUUAUUCUUUGCUUUUGAAUUAUUUAGCCACGAGCUUUAUGCAUCAUUUGACAAAUAUGCCAACCCAUUUAUAACUGUUUCUCAUUAUUUCUAUCACCAAGAUCUUUAAAUAUGAGCUCGUUUCUCAAAUACUCACAACUUGUUUUUGAAAGAUUAUUUCAAUGGCAGCAUCUUUAAGUAAACAAUUCAAAAAAAAUUUUGUGCUUUCUGGGUUUCACUAUGGAAAGUACAAAGAGUUUGUUCAGACAGCUAUAGAUCUUUUUCGUGUCAUAACAGUACCUCUAGAAACACAUCUUCUUAAUCUUAGAGUUUUAUUAAAAGAAAAUGUAACAUUUGCUUGUUCUUUGUCAUCUUCUUUUAAGCUUCUGCAUUGAGUUCAGAUGAGAUCUCCCCCUCUUCUUCUUUUUUUAUUAUUUUUUCUCUUUUAUUAUUUUUUUAUGCACUUCUGUAAAAUUAUAAAAUGUUAAGAUAAUGUUUAGAUUAGGUUGGGGGUGGGGAUAGUUGACGUGUGUUUUUAAAUAUGUGUUCGUUUUUCUCUUUUCUCUUUUCUUUUUUUAAAAAACUUAAAAAAAUAAUUUUUUUCUUUUGUCUAGGAUGGCUGUGUAAAGAGUCACGAGUUUUUAGACGCAUCCUAAUAGUCCUGUUGUAUUAUAUUUUGAUUUUGAAAUUCAUAGUAAGUUGUUUUUGUUCCUUUUUCUUUGAAUUACUCAAAUUUGUGAACUCUCCAAUUAGUUAUUAAGUCAUUUAAUUCUUUACUCAUUUAAUAGAUAUUAUCGAAUCAUUCUUCGCGCACACACUAUGAUACAUAUUAGUGGGUUGUAAGUUAAAAUUUUUGCAACAUUUAGUUCUUUUGAUUUGUUAGGGAUGCAAAAAGAAAAAAUAAAAAAAAUUAAAAAAGAGAGAAAAAGAAAAAAGAGAAAAAGAAAAAAUGAAAGUUUUUAAUUUUGCUAUAUCUAGAACCCGAGUAAUUAAGUCCGUAGGGGUGUUUGGACACCUAGUGCCCUAAGGUCAACUGGUUUCGGAGUCACUGGCCUAAAACUCACUGCGUGGGUAUUAGAUAUAUUGUUUGCUUAUUAGAAACUCGAGUAAUUAAAUCCGUAUGGGUGUUUCAACACUUAGUGCCCUAAGGCCAAUUGGUCUGGGAGUCACUGGCCUAAUGCUCACUACAUGGGUUAAAAAUGUAAUAUUUUUAAUUUAUAUGUGUGAAUAAUCUACUGCCUAAAGAUAGAAUUUCUAAUGAGUUUUGGAACAAAAAUGUUGUUUUUCUUUUAAUGAAGCCCCAUAAGUAUUGUGUUAAUUACUUGAGCACAAAAGUAGAUUUGAUAAUAUUCUGGAUAAUGAGUGAACACCAAAGAGCUAAAGAAAUCUGGGAGAGUUUAUUUAUUUGGUAGUUUAGAUGAUAGACGAACAACUAUUAACUUGCAUGUGAAUUUUGUAAAUCUUAAUUUAAUAUAACGCUUUAAUUGCUAGGGGCUAGGAAUAAGCUGGUUGGGGGUGUGAUUAGUAUUAAAAAUUGUUUAAUUAUCAAGCAAUAAUAAUGUUAUUUUGUGCUUAUGUUUUAAUUUAUAUUCGUGUUAUUAGGGAUUAUUAAUUAUGUUUUAAAUAUAUCUAGUUUUUUGUGUUUAUUAGAUAAAAUAUUAAUUUCACGUAAUUCGAGCCUCUAAAUAGAUAAAUGAAUUGGAUUCCAAAGGUUCGAAAACCUUAAAAUGAGUCAAGAUCAACUAAAAAUUGGGCUUGUAUAAAAAGAGUUUACUUUUCAUGUUGACCGAGCACUGAUUGGAUGAUAAAAUGAGCUUACAAUAGAUACGAGUGCAUGGGAUAGCUAGCAAUUUUGACUAAAUCUCAACCGUUCAUGAUUGUGCCACGUGGCAAUGGUUAGUGAAGCAAGUUGUAGGAUCAGAAUAUUUGUAUUCGGCUCGACCCGAUCCACCCAUUAACCCGCCAAAUUUCAAACGUUUUUUGGCCAAAUCAGACGAGUCAAAUGAUGCCACAUGUGAUGUUGACUUUUGAAGUUUGACAAGCCGUUGGAUCUUGAUCUAAUGGUUGUGAGGAGUGCAUGUAUGAAACUUAUGAUGGACCGCAAUAUACUAGAUUAUGAAUUUAUUUUUCUAUAAAUAGAGCCUCAUUUUUAUAUUUUUAAUCAUCUCUCUACAUCUCUUUUCUUCUCAAAUUCUCUCAAUCUCCUAGUAAUCUUGCUUUUCAGGUGUGCUUUUAAUAUUUUGUAUAAUUAUUUUUAUAAAUAAUUUUAGUUUUAUUUUAAAUUUUAGUUGUUUUUAUUACUUUAAUUAUAAGUAAUUUAAUUUUAAUAUUUCUUUUUAUUUCAAUUAUGCUUAACUAAGUAAUAAUAGUUAGGAUAAGGUGAAACUCUUAGGAAAUAAAUAUGAUUUAAUCAAAUUCUAUUUUUAAUUUUAUAAAUUAAAUUGUUUUCUAUUAAAUUUUACACAUAUUUUAUUUUUUGAAAUUUUGUUUUAUUGUAGACAAACAAUAUUAAAUUUUGGCACAAUAAAUACUUAAUCCAUCAUUAAAUUAAAGGGAAAAUAAUAAUAAUUUAUAUAAUUAAUCUUUUGGGUAAUAAAUCUAAAAAAAUGGCAAAAAACAUUUAUUAAGUUUUAUUUACUAUUAAGAGCGGAUCCACAACUGUAACUAAUUCAAUUUCAUAGUUUUAUUUAAAUUAAGUUGUUUAUAUUCAAGUUUUAUUUUUAUUUUUAGAUAAAAUAAAAUAAACAAAUUAAAUCUUUUCUCUGAAGAUCGACUUCGAACUCACCGAGCUAUAAUAUAAUAAGAUAGUCUUAUACUUAGGGGUUAAAAAUUAUUUUUAAGUUUGUUAAUUUUUUAUUUGGAUAUUCUGGAUACAUUCACCAGUAUUUUUUAUGGGGAGGUGGGCAUAGGAUUUUUAAGUAUCCAAUAAAAAAAAACUAAUUUAGACUAGACUGUUAGGUGGAGUGACCUAUCAUACUUGAUACAUUCGUAGACUAGGCUUUACUAGUCAAUGUGUAAGACAACUCAACAAUUCCCCCUUUAAACGAAACCAUCGGCACACCCUAGUCCGAUCCUCUGGCACACCCGACUUGUUCCAUCACCACAUUAUAGCUACUAGGAUCUGGCUCUGAUAUCACUUGUUGGGGGCUUGACAUAGGAUUUUUUGGUGUCCAACUCCAAAGAUUACUCUACACUAUCCUAUUAGGUAAAAUGACCUAUCAUAUUUGUAAACGUAAGUAACCGUCCUUUACUAUUUAAUGUGAGACAACUCAAUAAUUAGGAAUGAUUUUUGUGUUGCGGAAAUUGGUGAUUUAGGCCUGGAGGUUAGUAUUUUAUUUAUUUAUUUAUUAAAUGUAGGGGGUGUUCGCGGAUCAGAUUUUAUGGAUUGGACAUCAAUCCGUAUCCGAUCCAUGAUUUUGCGGAUUAUAAUUUUUCAAUCCUAUCCAAUCCACAGAUUGAUAAAAUUCAAUCCAAAUCCAAUCCAUACAUCUGCGGAUCGGAUGCGGAUUUGACUCAAUCCAUAUCCAAUCCAUACGUCUGCGGAUCAGAUGCGAAUUUGACUCAAUCCAUAUGCAAUCCACCAUUUUGCGCAUUAGUUUUCGAAUUAAAAAUUUUUAGUUCUCUCCAACUAAUGAAAUAAAAAAAUCUAAUAUAAAAAUAAUUUUGCUACCAAUUAAAUUUAAAAUUGAAUAAAAUUUAAAUAAAUUAAUUGUUUAAAUAAAGCUAAAAUAAUACAUUUAAAGUUUCAAAAUAUAACACAUCGAGACUAAUUAUUCAAAUAAAGCUACAAUAAUAUGUUCAAAGUUUCAAAAUAUAACACACCAACUUAGUUGUUCAAAUAAAGUUACAAUAAUACGUUAAUAUAACACCAGAAUUAAUUGUUUAAAUAAAGCCACAAUUAAUUGAAAUGACAAAGUUUCGGAAACCAAACACAGUCUGAUCCUUCACCAGGGCUGUUGUGCCUGUCGAAAAGUGGUGAUUACGGAGCCAUCCACGAUGAAAACCAGGAGAAGCCGUACGGGUGACGAUCUUGAAGGUUGUGAUAGUGAAAUUGUUCAGCUGAAACCAGUGAAUGUGAAGUGGCUCGAUGGACUUGGGAAAGAAGAUGACUUGCUCUCGCCGGAAUCGCGCGGCCGAUGUCCUUUAAAUCCGUGUCGAGAGUGUAUCCAACCAGUAUUGAGUGUUGCUAGUGUGUGUGAUGGCGGGGAAGCUUAUGGUUUUUUUUUUUGCAAAUUGUUAGUGACUUGGCGUUAUAUUACUUUGCUUUUGCUAGUGCGUGUGACUUUGCUUUUAUUUUGUUUUACAAUUUUUACAAGUUAUAUUUGUAUAUUUGAUUAUUUAAUUAUUUUUCAUUUUAUAUUAUUAUUGGGUAAUGGCUAAGAUAUGUUAUAGUGCUUAGUAACUAUGCAAUGUCACAUUUAUAAUUUUUUAAAUUAAAUUUAUAAUAAUUUUUUAAUUAUAUAUAUAUAUAUAUAUAUAUAUAUAUUUUGCAGAUUCAUGGAUUUCUGCGGAUUUGCAUAAGUAAAUCCAUAUCCAAUCCAUCGACUGCGGAUUUUUAAAUUUUCAAUCCAUAUCUAAUCCACCAAUCCACGGAUCGGAUUUAUACGGAUCGGAUUCAGCGGAUCAGACGGAUUGAGCGAAUCGGAUUGGAUUUUGAUCACCCCAAUUCAUGGAUUUCUACGGAUUUGCAUAAGUAAAUCCAUAUCCAAUCCAUCGACUGCGGAUUUUUAAAUUUUUAAUCCAUAUCUAAUCCACCAAUCCACGGAUCGGAUUUAUACGGAUCGGAUUUAGCGGAUCAGACGGAUUGAGCGAAUCGGAUUGGAUUUUAAUCACCCCCAAUUAAAUGUUUGAACCCUUUUCUAAUGUUUGCUCAUGCUCUGAGUUGUGUUUCCGUGUUUUCUUUGCUGAUUUGAAUGAUUGUUUUGGUCAACGGGCUUGAAUGCUAAUAUGGUUAGGCUUCUGUCAGUCCUUUUGAGCUGAAAACGACUUUAUUUUUCAUUUGCUCUCUCAACUCUCUUUUUCCUUUCGGUGGUGUUUGGUUUUAAGAAAGAGGAGGAGAGAAGAGGAGGAAAAAGGAGAGAAAUGGAGAGGUAAUGAGAGGAAAAAAGUGUAAAAAUUAAUUGUUAUUAUUUGGUUUCACAUUAAAUUUGAAAGGAAAAGAAAUUACAUAUUUUUUAUUUGGAAAAAUAUACCCACUAUCUCUAAUGUUAAUAAAUAAAUAAAAAAUUAAACUAUGAAUUAAUUUAAUCUAGAAAUUAGCUAGUUAAAUAAAAAAAUUAUUUUUUUAAAAUUACAGCAUCAGGUCAUGGAUAGCUGCCACAUUGACCGCAGUUUACUGUCGUUGGCAGCCAUUGACCACCGUUGACUGGUGUCAUUGACCGAUAUUGACUGCCAUUUUUCAUCGUGUUAAAUGCAUAAUAAUGAUCAGAAAUGGACGAUUUACUCAUUAUAAAUGUUAAUUUUGCAGAAAAUACUCUAUAUAGUCAGAAAUGUGAGAGUUAAAAUUUUCUCAAGCAUUUAAACAAGACUUGAGGUAAAUAACAACGUAUAUUAUCAUUUCUAACCCCAUAGAGUUGUAGAUCAGCUCAUGAGGAUUCCAUUGGUACUAGUUUUGAUGGUAAAGCGCGUCUCCAGCGAAACUCCAGCGAGUCACUUUACUGCUUUUUCUUUUUUCAAAUAAGUUUAUCCUAUUAAUUUAAGAAAAUAAAUAUAAAUUAUUUGUACUUUAAUUUAUUUAAAAUUGAUUUUGUGUGGAGGAUAAUAUUGGAAUUUUUGUGUUUCAAUAGAUAAGGAAUUUGAAAUCCUUAGUCAUUGAAUUUCAAUUGCAGUAAACUUGGUCCAACGAAACAGUGGAUAGUGGAAAAGAAAUUAAAUUCUUUUCCUCUCCCCACUUCUCUACCCCCAAGCAAACAUGGCCUUAGUUUCUUAGAUUUCACGAUAUGUGUAUUUUUCAUGAUAGAACAUUAUAAGUCAAUAGAUUUGUUGUUUAAUAAAUUUUCCUGAUGGAUUAGGUGGUGACAAAAACAAUUAUAUGGAGAUGAUUCCUGAAAAGAGAGAGUACAUGUGAGAGAGGGAAGAAAAUAGUUAAAAAAUGAAUGCUAAUUUUUAUUUUUUUGCGAGGAUAAUUUAAAAAUAAAUAAGGUUAAUUUGAAAGUGGGAAUGUCGAAAAAUAUUUGAGGUAGUCAAUGUCACUACUCUAUUAAAUUUCUCCAACUCAAGUUAGGUGGACAUUGGGUUAACCUAAUAGUAAACUAGAGUCCUCAACGUAUUUAGGGCAACACCUCACGCCCAUAGGAGACUCUGUGUCCUUUUUCUACAAAAUGUGAAACAAGGGUUUAUUUCUCUUUAUUUUAAUUGAACAAGACAUUUUUGACAAUAUAUUUUCGUUGUGUUUAUUUGUUGGAGUAAGAGUGGGAGUAUGGAUUCCUCCCACUCCAACAUUUACUUAUUUAAGAAGGGGAGUAGGUGUCCCACUCCAUAGAUCUCACUUAUUUUUAGAAUGAAAAAUGGGAUUCUCACUCCGUCGGAAUCUACUUCCAUCUCUUUCUUUUUUUACUUUUUCCUUAUUAAAUAUAGUAUAGUUAAAUUUAUUAAAAUAAAAUAAUAUUAAAUUUAUUUGAACAUAAUAUAUCAUAUUUAUUUAAAUAAUAUUAUACUAUUUUUAAUAAUAUUACGUUUAUUAAAAAUAAUGAUAUCAAACUUAUUUAGAUAUAAUAUUAUCAUAUUUUUUAUUUUACUCUUAUUAUAUUUAUAUAAUAUUAAUAAUUAAUAAUAAUAAAUAAUUUGUUCCAAGAAAAUAUUAAUUAGAUACUAUAUUAUUAAUAAUAUUGUUUCAUUUUUGCUGCUCUUAUCAACAAUUUUGAAUUUACAUAAUUUAAAAUUAAUAAAAACUUGUGAUUUACAUAAUUAAGAAUAUUUAUGUUUAUAAUUAAUUUAUAUAAUAAAAAUUAAUAAUAAAAUAAAUAGUUUAUUUUACAGAUUUUUUAUUCACUUUGUAAUUAAAAAUUAAAAUUCUUUAAAUAAGAGUAAAAUUAUAAUUUAGAACAAUUCACUCUAAGUUAAAGACAAAAUAAACACAUAAAUAAGAUUCUAAUUCCUAUUCCACACUUUCAUUCCAAUAUAAAUAAACAACAAAUUUUUACUCUCACUCUACAUUCCUAAUUUAAGGAUUCCUAUUCCAAUCCGAGAAGUAAUCAUUUUUGUUUUCCGUAGUUUUCCAAUAGCAAGCUCUUUUAUGUUUUGUAGAUAGUGCUUACUUUUGAAUGUGAGUACCGUUGAACAUAUCAUGUUGGUAAUACAGCUUCUUUUAUAUGUAAUGAGGCUUACCAGUUACAUAACUAGCAUCCAAAAAAUGAUGCUAGCUUCAUAUAGUUAAUUAUAAUUUAUAAAUUUUCCUUUAUUAAUACUUAUAAAAAAAAUAAAAAUAAAUUUAAUAGCCUUCCAAAAAAUGAUGACAGCUUCGCCACUGCCUCCAAGAAAAUCUUCGCCACUGCCUCAACUUGGGGAUAGAAUUCUCCUAAUAUAUGGUUAUGGCCAAUUGAUAGUGACAUCAUUUUUGUCAUUUUUGUUGAAGCCCAAUAUGCCUGAUUUUUGCACCUUCCAAGUACAUUUAGGACUACAUCUCUGGCGAUCCUUGGAAUAUUUGAAGGCAUCAAACCUUGUAGAUUUGUCUUGCGUAGUCACGUGACAAAAGUACAGUGUAGUUCCUCCGAAAUUUCCAUGGAAGUUCCAAUGGAAAUUUUCCCGUGUCUUUAAAACAUGAGGCCCUAAAUCAUCAUCUCCGGAUUUACAAUGAACUGUAAUAUCUUCUCCAGAUAUAUCGUUUUCAACAGCAACUGAAAAAUCAUCUGAAGGUAGAAGAUAUGCCCACGGUGUGUCAACCAAAGCACCCAACACUACAAACAACAAUAAAACGUUGUUAAACUGACUCAUUCUCAAUUUCAGUUUUUCUUGAUGAAUUAAAGGAUUGAACACGAACAUCUUAUUCUCAAGAGUUUGAUUCUUAUACAUAUAUUUCCUUGACAAAUAUAGAAUUUUAUUUCUCAAAUUAAGGCCAAGCCUGAAAGUAUAUUUUCUCGACAAACGAUGCAUGACCACUAAUUUAUUUAUAUGCAUAUUUUUUUUUUAACUCCGUUCCCAUAUUCGUUGACAUCUGAUUUGGUCCUUCAAUAAAACUUGUGUGCUCUAAGGGCAUUACUCCUUUUCCUUUUCUUUUUUCUUUUUUAAUGUGUGUACAAACAUCUUCAUGAUUAGUUGAAAAAUUAUUUUACAUGAACUAAUAUGACAUAUAUUCCACAAUCCACGUGAUUUUAUUUUAUUUAAUACAUAUCAAUUUAUAUAAGAGGUUAUGCCUCAAUUAAAAUCGUAAAAGAAGUCAAAUUUUCAUUGGAGCUUCUAUUCAAAUUUUGAGGGAACUACACAUAAUUUGUCAUGUGAGCGAAACCUAAUUAUAAAGCAUUUGUUGCUUUCAAAUGGUCCAAGGAUCGCUACAAAUAUAAUCCUAAAUGUUCUUGGAAGGUGUGAAAAAUAGGGCUUGUUCAUCGUCGACAAAAAUGACAAUAAUGAUGUUACUUUGAGUUGGUGAUAACCACAUCAAAGAUUUUCAAAUUAUCCUAGGAGAAUUCCAUUGCGAACAUAGGAAUCUUUUAAGUAUUUUUAAUUAUACUAGGAGAAUGAUGCGCCAAAUUGCAAUACUAAUAAUUAUGAUUUUUUUCUUCAAUAUUUCUGUUUAUGUUUUUUACAUGCUUGUUGAACUUCUACCGAUGAAGGAAAAACUCAUUUGAUCCCAGCACACGUGCACACACAUAUACGAAAUUAGGUGUUAAUUAUUUAACUAUAAGAUAUUUUUUAGGGUAAUAUAGGCUUUCAUUAAUAAGCACCUAUUAAAAAAGCGAAAAAAAGCUAUUGGAAAUUCAUUAAAAAAAAAGGAUAAGUAUUUUCGAAGAUAAUUCUCUUAGGACAAAAAAAAUUAGAAAAUGUUCUAUAAAUAAACUGUAGAAAUUAUUCGAUAAAAUUAGAAGAUGAACUAACUUUUUCUUCCUCAUAUUUCAAAGGAAAAAGGACAAACACACCCCCAACGUUUGGAUAAAGAGACAAAAAUCCCCCUCUAACAUUUUAAAAAAGACAUUUAUACCCCCAUUCACUAAUGAAAACAAUUACUUUUAACGGAAAUAGUAAUUUUAAUAUAUAACUACUGUUAUACCCUUUUAGAAAAUAAAAAAAUAAUUGUUAAUCGUCUAAUUUAUCCAUAUAUUGUUAAUAAAAUUAUAAAUAUACCCUCAUUGCCCAAUUCUUCUAUUUAAAUUUUUAUAUAAUUCUCUCUUCAAGCCAAAUAAAUUUAAUCAAUUACUCAAAAAUAAAAAUAAAUAAAAUUAGUUAUUAAUGCCAUAAGAAUAACAAUUCUCUACAUGUCAAUCAUUUAAACUUGUAUAAUUAAUAAAAAAAGAGGUUGGUUACAAUAAUAAUUACAAAAAUCUUAUCUUAAUUGUAUUAAAUAACAUAUCCAAUAGGCAUAAAAAUUGAAGCUAAGGCUAGACAACCCAAGAGGAGGGAUGAAUUAGGUUGAAAACAUAUAGAACACAAAAAUUAAAGAUUAAUGUAAAUUUAUAAUAUGAGCAAAUCAAUAUCAAUUAAAUAAUGAUAAGUCUCUAAUGAAAUAAAAUAAAUAGCAAAUAAAUAACAGUAAUUAAAAUGUAAAGAGAGAAGGGAAAAGUAUCAAACACAAUAUUUUUACGUAGUUUGGCAAAACUUAUCUACGUCCACGCCUCGAAGCUCAUCACGCUUGAGGAUUCCAAUAAACAAGCCUUAAAAUCUUAAGGGUUCAACAAGAUUACACUUCACUUCGAAGGUGCUAAUGGACCUUUACAACUUAAGGUAAUCACAACCCUUUUAUCUUAAGUGUUUCCCAUACUCUCAGCUACUCAAUUUUGAUAUUGAGAUGACAGUUACACAGAUUUCUUGCUAACAUAAUCUAUGUGUUUACAAAUGAAAGCUCAAAGUGUGAUUUGAUAAAAGAGUAAACAAAAGUAAUCUCAGACUAGAUUGAAUUAAGCAAUGAUAAGCUUGAUGAUAAUUGUUGAACACUUCUUGUAAAUUGUAUUUGAUGGAGCCUUUUAUAGUUGGAGAAGAAAAACUAGUCAUCAUUGACUUUCUGGGCAUAAUCAAAUCGCCAUUAAUAGAAGUAGGAUUGUCGUUUUCACUUUGUGCAAGUUACAGUUAUAUAGAAUUUUGAUUUGCUGGAUCAUCGUUAGAAGAUGUCGGUUAGCUGUUUAAUUCAAAAGAGUUCACUGAUUGAAGUCUGUUUGCUACUUGCACAUAAAGGUUUACCGUUUGAUUCUAUAAGCUCACCAAUUCGAAGCCGACUUUCCGUUUGCGGAUAACAGUUUGCUGCUUUCAGAUAUAUUCCUUUCUAGAAUUUAUCAAUUAGCCGUUUUUAGUAAAUGAUCUACAGUUAUAUUUCAGAAUCAAACAACCUAAUAACUUUCUAUAAACGGUUUGCCGUUUCAAUGCUAGCAGUUAUCGUUUAUUUUCAAAAGCUUAAAUUUGUUCAAAAAUAAUGCAUGGCCUAAGAAACUUCUCCUAUUUUAAAGACUCUAACAUUCUUAACCUAUGACACAUAUAGUUUGUUAUCAUCAAAAUUAAUAUUAUAAGCAUAUUUAUGUCAACAAUCUCCCCCUUUUUAAUGAUGACAAACCUUACAUGUAUUUAUAGUAUGAAUGAUUAAAAAAUAAAAGAUCCCCCUAAAUAUAAGCUCCUCCUAAGUAUUUUACAAGUUUUAAAAAGUGCCAACAAGUUGUACAAAUUUUAACCAAUUUAAAGACAUCCUCUUUUGUGUGUGCAUGUUUAUACAUCAAUUUUAGUAACGCAACUCCCCUUAAGUGACAAGAUAAUUUUAACAAGUUCAAAUACAUUUAUCCUUCUCACUCUUUGUCAUCAAAAAUAAAAUUUGUUGUUGAUGGAAACGAAAUGUGAUGGAAAAUCAAGAAAAAAUAACAUUUUUACCCAACUUAUGAAGUGUUGUCCACACUUGAAGCAUUUCCUUGGACUAUAAAUAAAAUAAAAUGAAGAAGGAAUCUUUAUCAAUCAAGCUCAACCUCGAUAAGUUUUAACAUCAACUUCUUUACUUUUUCAUCCUUGUCAAGCUUGAUUGUUGACCUCAUUGGAGUGCUUUUAGCCUUUCCAUUUUCAAAUCUGAAUCUUUUGAGUAAAUCUCUCAAAUAUUUAGCUUGAUUGAUAAAGAUUCCUUCCUCGUUUUAUUUUAUUUAUAGUCCAACUUCAACUCUCUCAUCAUCAGUGGUAGACCUAGAAACUAAAAUGAGGGGGGGCUUAG
rnacentral:lncRNA from 1 species